rfam:Culex pipiens quinquefasciatus supercont3.392 genomic scaffold, whole genome shotgun sequence.
AAAACGGCCCUUUUCAGGGCCACCACAACAAUCAAGAAAGAGUUUG